CCGUCGCCAGAACAAACCAAAUGGGGGGGCAUUUAAUUUUCAUAGGGGGGCACACUUUUUUUUAAUGAUCUGAGACAGACCAUAACAUAAACCCAUAUUAGGCUAUAACUAAAAUAGACCACAAUAGUCUUGUUUUGUUCAAUUAUUCAAAUAAAAUAAUUCACCGUUUGAUCUCAACGUCUCUGUUUAUUGUCUCUUAACAUUUCCCAAACCGCCAAAAAUUUAUUCUGAGAUCGCAUGCAACGCGCAGCUCAGCUGCGCAAAGGAAUUGCGUAUAAACAAUACAAUACUGUAUGCUUAACUAAAUGAAUUGCAUGAUUUAUAUAUACAUAUACAUAUACUUACACACAAACUGCAUAUUGUAAUUUGAAUUAAUAAAACUACUAACACAAAAAUAACAUAUUGAAAGGUCUGCUGCUGGAGACUUGCCAUUGGCUGUUGUAUUUGAAUAAUUAAUGAGGUAGGUCUUUGCAAGGUUUGGGUGCUGUUUUGGGAUGUUUUAACAGUCAUUUAUGAAUACAAUUAUAUUUAAAAUUAUGUUCUGUGUAAUAAUGCGUUGAAUAAUGAAUCGUCUGAAUCAUUUCUGAAGGUAAUGUGUUAUGCAUUUCUAGUGUUACCGUUGUAGUGAUUACUGUUCAUGUGAGCCAAGUUCUGCUGAAACAACGUUAUUCGGGCAAUGAUCUAAAUCAUUAACAUUCAAUAUUUAAUGUGUAACUGCGCGUUCACACCGGCGGCGUCGGGAGCGUGAAAAAUCGCCCUUGCUGUUCUCUUCAUGACGUUGCAGAAAAAUUUGUGAGCGCUCAGAUGAUCUGACAUAGUUACGUAGACCGAAUGCUUAUUUUGUAUUAAAAGUGGCCGUUAAGCAAACAGACUUGUUGAGCUUAUGCGGACUAACCACAUGGAGGUUAACGUUAUAAGUUGAUCUCAUUAAAUGUUGUUGUGGACGAAAUAUUAAGAUCCUUUACUUAAAAUGAACGAUCUCAGAUACCUUGGUCCACGUAUCACUUUUAAUUAUUUUUUUAUGUCCCUGUACGCAAACAGGGACACAUCAUAGAUUACUGCAAACGCGAAACAGCAAUAAUCAACCUGUCCUCUAUUUUGCUUGGGAACUAAUGUGAUCGGAGCUGCGUCCUCUGGAAUCCUCUCAAGCGGUUGACUUUUCCUUUCCGAUUGAUUGCUGCCCAACCGCGUCAUAGCUCAUUACCAUAAAGUUGCCUUGAUUUAAACUCUGCUCGACGCUCUCAAAGGCCAAGUCGCGCCGCGCCGCUCCUCGCCGCUGGUUUACAUUGAAAAUGAAUGACUUCGGGCCACUUUGACGCUCUCGACGCCGGCGGUGUGAAUGCACAGUAAUGCAAGUUUGGUUAAUUGUUCUGUGCGUUACGUUUAGGGGGGCACAAAAAGUCAUUUGGGGGGGCACUGCCCCCCAAUGCCCCCCCUUGACGACGGGCCUGUCCAAUACACAUGUGCAGGUUAUCCCGGUUACAAUCCUCGUGAGCGCGCACGCCUUUGGAGUGUUCAGUCGUCACUGACGGCGUCGGGCAGCCAAGGGACGACAAUCACCAGGAGAACGCUGAAAUCACGAAGAUGGAGACAUCCAGUAUGGUUUUCCGGAAAGGGAGACCAGCGAGGCCCAGAGAGAGAGGCACGGGCUGAGUUAGAUGGAGACAUCCAGUAUGGUUUUCCGUAAAGGGAGACAGAGAGAGAGGCACGGGCUGAGUUAGAUAAAUGAAGAACCAGCUUCAGAACCCAAGGCUCAAAAAUAUAUUGGUCUAUCCUCCCAUACACACAUUAAAAACACAUCUUGAGUGUGUGCUAUAGGUCCUUUAGGGUAAUGAAUAACAAAAAUGAAUAAUAACAAUAAUGUGGCUUUCUGAAAUUUUCAGCAGUAUACUCUUGAUUUUUAAGACUGUUUGUCAUUUAAGAGCAAAAAUAUAUGCACUGAACCUAAAUGCAUUUAAUGACAUGUUUACUGCUGAAAAUUUCAGAAAGCCACAUUAUUGUUAUUAUUCAUUUUUAUAACAAUAACGAUAAUGUGCUGUACAAAACAGCAACAGAAACAGAACACAAUAAUACAUUAGAACUGAUAUGCCUUAACUGAAAGCCAAAAUGUUAACACUUGAAGGGGUGUGCAUAAGACUGA